UCCAAUGUUCCGAUUUAAAGUCUGAAUCUUGAAAGCAAUAUGGAAUAUAAUUUUGUAUGCAAGAAUAAUUCCAAAAACAAGAAUUUAGCUGUCACAGACUUCAGAUACAACUUUAAUUUGAUGUAGAAUAUAUUCCCCUUUCAUAGAACCACAUUCUACCCUAACCAAGAAAGUCUCCCUAAGAGAGAAAUCCAGCCUCUUACACAACAAAUAAAUAAAGACCAGACCAGAUGUUAUUAAAAAAGAAAAAGACAUAUAACACGCGUUCUAAACACAUGCUUUAAAUAGGCUAUAGGCUAUCAAAACUCUCCCUAGAUUCAUCAUAAAACCAUAAAUAGUUUAGCUCUAAAGUUAGCAAGCAAGAUGGACUGUUUUACCAUGUUACAAAUAUAGUAGAACAACACUAAAGAUACGAACUCAACACCAAAAGUUGAAUUAUUACUGCAAGAUAAGGAUUCUAAUUGAGGUAAAUUCAAGAUCCUCAAUCACAAUAUCUAUCCAAUUCAAGAUAAUAUCAACUUUUAGUAAUUGACAAGCAUAAAAACCCAAUCAUGAAGGUAAUUUCUAAGAAAAGAAUUCCUUUUUCUGGUUAAACAUUAUGAUCAAAGACAAGUAUCGAUUGAUUGUGGAGGUAAAAGCAUGUGAAUCCAAGAUCCUCCCUUAAUCACAAUAACUAUCCAAUUCAAGAUAAUAUCAACUUUUGAGUAAUUGACAAGCAUAAAAACCCAAUCAUGAAGGUAAUUUCUAAGAAAAGAAUUCCUUUUUCUGGUUAAACAUUAUUAUCGAAGACAAGUAUUUGAUUGAUUGUGAACCUCCCCAAUUUUUUCUCCUAAAUAUCAAAAUCCCAUUAAAAUUACAUAAUCCAACCAGGCAAAAAAGGUAAAAU
rnacentral:lncRNA from 1 species